CUUUACGAAGAUUUACUUGGAUGUGAAGCUGUAUCAAAAGUUGGGUGGUUAUGUCCACAAGAGAUUCGUGGUGACAAUUGCUUGAAGAACCGUGCUGAAGCGAGUGAGUAAGUUGAAAGGAGUAUUACCGCAUGUGUUCGAUCUAAAGCUAACUAUAUUAUUGCCCCAUACCUUGAAGAGUAUGUUUUAGUACCUAGUUGAUAAUGUCUUUUCAUAAUACUAUUUUGGAUAACUAUUGUUGGUAUACAUAUGAUUGUCGAACUUAAUUUUUUGUUGUAGUCUCCAUUGGAUGCUCUUGAUAAUAUCUCCUUCAACUCACACAAUAUACCAUUUUGAUUCUAUGCGUCAAGAACCACCCCGAGGCUUACUAAUCAAAAACAUAUUGAAUAGUGUGAUGAAAAGAUUACGUGGAUGUGGUCCAAGAAGAGCCACACUUCCUCAAUGGAAAUCAGUGAAGUGCGCACAACAACAAGAUGGAGUUGCUUGCGGCUAUUACGUGAUGAGGUUUAUGUUCGAUAUACUUACUUGUUGCACGAAAGUCGAUAAUCUUGAGAAGGUUCGUAACAUUCCG